CAGUCGCCGCGGUAAUACAGAGGGUGCGAGCGUUAAUUGGAUUUACUGGGCGUAAAGCGUGCGCAGGCGGUUAUAUAAGACAGAUGUGAAAUCCCCGGGCUCAACCUGGGAACUGCAUUUGUGACUGUAUAGCUAGAGUACGGCAGAGGGGGAUGGAAUUCCGCGUGUAGCAGUGAAAUGCGUAGAUAUGCGGAGGAACACCGAUGGCGAAGGCAAUCCCCUGGGCCUGUACUGACGCUCAUGCACGAAAGCGUGGGGAGCAAACAGGAUUAGAUACCCCGGUAGUCCCUGUCUCUUAUAC
rnacentral:rRNA from 1 species